rnacentral:rRNA from 1 species
CCAUCAUUCUAAGCGGUGGAUCACUCGGCUCGU